rnacentral:rRNA from 1 species
AUUGAACGCUGGCGGCAGGCCUAACACAUGCAAGUCGAGCGAGCGGCGGACGGGUGAGUAAUGUCUGGGAAACUGCCCGAUGGAGGGGGAUAACUACUGGAAACGGUAGCUAAUACCGCAUACCAUCAGAUGUGCCCAGAUGGGAUUAGCUGGUAGGUGGGGUAACGGCGCACCUAGGCGACGAUCCCUAGCUGGUCUGAGAGGAUGACCAGCCACCCUGGACAUGAGACACGGUCCAGAGUCCUACGGGAGGCAGCCGUGGGGAAUAUUGCACAAUGGGCGCAAGCCUGAUGCAGCCAUGCCGCGAGUGUGAAGGAGGCAGUCGGGUUGUAAAGUACUUUCAGCGGGGAGGCGUUACCCGCAGAAGAAGCACCGGCUAACUCCGUGCCAGCAGCCGCGGUAAUUC